UGUGCUGGCAUGUAUACAGGUGCGUGCUGGCGUGUGUACAGGUGUGUGUGUGUGAGUGUGUGUGUGCUGGCAUGUGUACAGGUGUGUGUGUGUGGGUGUGUGUGUGCUGGCAUGUGUACAGGUGUGUGUGUGAGCGUGUGCUGGCAUGUGUACAGGUGUGUGUGUGAGCGUGUGCUGGCAUGUGUACAGGUGUGUGUGUGAGCGUGUGCUGGCAUGUGUACAGGUGUGUGUGUGAGCGUGUGCUGGCAUGUGUACAGGUGUGUGUGUGAGCGUGUGCUGGCAUGUGUACAGGUGUGUGUGUGAGCGUGUGCUGGCAUGUGUACAGGUGUGUGUGUGAGUGUGUGUGUGCAGAGAACAGC